UUCAGAACAAUUAAAAUAACAUUUGUUAUUUUCAAGUUGGAAAACUUGACAACUACAAAUUCCUUUGUAAGAUUUAUCAAGCCAGGUGAAGUCUGCACUUCUUUGUUGCAGUCUAAUGUGCACAUGGAUUGGUUGCAGUCAUCCAGUGAAAGGUGUGAUUAAAUAAUAAAUUGAGCUGUUGCAUGCAGUCUUUGGUGCUGAUGUUGUCCUGGAGUGUGGGAGAGUUCCAUGCUUGAAGUCUUCUGGGAUCAGCCAUAUCUGAGUUGACGCUGGAUCAUGCUGCAUUGUGGUUGCCGAAAUGUUGGACAUCUAGUAGAACUGCAAGAAGACUCCUUGAAAUGGUUUAUGUUUACGUAGCAGUGACGAACCAAAUAUGGCAUGUUGUUGCAGCCUAUACUGGUGAAAGAUUUUUGCAUCGAGUUAUGCAGUUGCUGUUCCUUGGUGCCGGACUGCUGGUGUUGUGCACAAAAGUUACAUCCAGUUUUAAUUGUUAUUUGUGUCUAUGCAGUUAACCGGUUAUAUUUUGAAAAAGAACAGAAAAGUUCCUUGGUGUUGAAUCGCUAGUGUUGUGCUACAUAAGUUACAUCCAGUAUUUUGUUUAAUUGCUAUUUGUGUCUAUGAAUUUAACCGUUUAUAUGUUGAGAAUGAAAAAAAUAGUAAUAUGGGGAAUUUUUACGUUGAACAAAUAAUAAACAUGCCUUCGCGAUUGGGAAAUCAGCGAAGAGAUUGGGGGGAGGAGGGUAAUUGAUUUUCAUUAACUAGAAAGAGUCGUGGUUUGUUUUAAUAAGGUAGACAUAAAAUCUUUUGUCUAUCACAUCCAUAUACUUACCUAUAUGACCACAUCUAUUCCUCAAACCCCCAUUUCCCCACAAAUGUCAAGUAUCUAUAAUAUGUAAAUUUUAUUGUUGAAUAAAUAAACCAUGUAUAUAAUA